rnacentral:rRNA from 1 species
CCUACGGGAGGCAGCAGUGAGGAAUAUUGGUCAAUGGACGAGAGUCUGAACCAGCCAAGUAGCGUGAAGGAUGACGGUCCUAUGGAUUGUAAACUUCUUUUAUAAAGGAAUAAAACGAGGCACGUGUGCCUGUUUGCAUGUACUUUAAGAAUAAGGAUCGGCUAACUCCGUGCCAGCAGCCGCGGUAAUACGGAGGAUCCGAGCGUUAUCCGGAUUUAUUGGGUUUAAAGGGAGCGUAGAUGGGUUGUUAAGUCAGUUGUGAAAGUUUGCGGCUCAACCGUAAAAUUGCAAUUGAUACUGGCAGUCUUGAGUACAGUUGAGGUAGGCGGAAUUCGUGGUGUAGCGGUGAAAUGCUUAGAUAUCACGAAGAACUCCGAUUGCGAAGGCAGCUUACUAAACUGCCACUGACAUUGAUGCUCGAAAGUGUGGGUAUCAAACAGGAUUAGAUACCCCAGUAGUC